rnacentral:rRNA from 1 species
GCGGUGCGCCUUAUGCAUGCAAGUCGAGCGAAGCUUUUCUGUAGUUUACUACAGAAAAUGACUGAGCGGCGAACGGGUGAGUAACGCGUGAGCAAUCUACCUUAGUUACAGGGAUAGCCCGAGGAAACUCGGAUUAAUACCUGAUAUUCUUUUUUUCUCGCAUGAGUUUUAAAGGAAAGGUCAGCCGAACUAAGAUGAGCUCGCGUUCUAUCAGCUAGUUGGUGAGGUAAUAGCUCACCAAGGCAACGACGGAUAGCUGGUCUGAGAGGACGAUCAGCCACACUGGGACUGAGACACGGCCCAGACUCCUACGGGAGGCUGCAGCAGGGAAUAUUGUGCAAUGAGCGAAAGCUUGACACAGCGACACCGCGUGUGGGAUGACGGAUCUAGGUUUGUAAACCACUUUCAGGAGGGAAGAAAAUGACGGUACCUCCAUAAGAAGCCCCGGCCAACUACGUGCCAGCAGCCGCGGUAAUACGUAGGGGGCGAGCGUUGUCCGGAUUUAUUGGGCGUAAAGAGCUCGUAGGCGGUUCAACAAGUCGGUCGUGAAAGUUCAGGGCUCAACCCUGAAAUGUCGAUCGAUACUGUUGUGACUAGGAUACGGUAGAGGUGAGUGGAAUUCCGAGUGUAGCGGUGAAAUGCGUAGAUAUUCGGAGGAACACCAAUUGCGAAGGCAGCUCACUGGG